rnacentral:rRNA from 1 species
UACGUAGGGGGCAAGCGUUGUCCGGAAUCAUUGGGCGUAAAGCGCGUGUAGGCGGCCAGAAAAGUCCGCUGUGAAAACUCGAGGCUCAACUUCGAGCUGUCGGUGGAAACUUUCUGGCUAGAGUCCGGAAAGAGGAGAAUGGAAUUCCUGGUGUAGCGGUGAAAUGCGCAGAGUAUCAGGAAGAACACCCGUGGCGAAGGCGGUUCUCUGGGACGGUACUGACGCUGAGACGCGAAAGCGUGGGGAGCGAACAGGAUUAG